UGACUCUCGGCAACGGAUAUCUCGGCUCUCGCAUCGAUGAAGAACGUAGCGAAAUGCGAUACUUGGUGUGAAUUGCAGAAUCCCGUGAACCAUCGAGUCUUUGAACGCAAGUUGCGCCCGAAGCCGUUAGGCUGAGGGCACGUUUGCCUGGGCGUCGUAU
rnacentral:rRNA from 4 species